rnacentral:rRNA from 2 species
CUUUGACCUCAAAUCAGGUAGGACUACCCGCUGAACUUAAGCAUAUCAAUAAGGCGGAGGAA